rnacentral:rRNA from 1 species
AUGAACGCUGGCGGCGUGCCUAAUACAUGCAAGUCGAGCGAACAGACGAGGAACUUGCUCCUCUGACGUUAGCGGCGGACGGGUGAGUAACACGUGGAUAACCUACCUAUAAGACUGGGAUAACUUCGGGAAACCGGAGCUAAUACCGGAUAAUAUAUUGAACCGCAUGGUUCAAUAGUGAAAGACGGUUUUGCUGUCACUUAUAGAUGGAUCCGCGCCGCAUUAGCUAGUUGGUAAGGUAACGGCUUACCAAGGCAACGAUGCGUAGCCGACCUGAGAGGGUGAUCGGCCACACUGGAACUGAGACACGGUCCAGACUCCUACGGGAGGCAGCAGUAGGGAAUCUUCCGUAAUGGGCGAAAGCCUGACGGAGCAACGCCGCGUGAGUGAUGAAGGUCUUCGGAUCGUAAAACUCUGUUAUUAGGGAAGAAUAAAUGUGUAAGUAACUAUGCACGUCUUGACGGUACCUAAUCAGAAAGCCACGGCUAACUACGUG